AUGGCCCUCCAUGGGUCAAUUGCUCCUCACCUCGGUAACCUCUCUUUCCUCUCUGUCCUCAAUCUCACCAAUACCAACCUCACCGGCUCCAUCCCAGCCGACCUUGGCGGGCUACGUCGCCUUAGGUACCUCAUUCUCAGUCGGAAUAGCCUAUCAAAUACCAUUCCUCCCGCCCUAGGGAACCUCUCGAGGCUCGUGUCUCUUGAUCUAGGUCACAACCAACUCUCCGGCCAGAUCCCUCCCGAGCUCCUGCUGCGUUUGCACAACCUUGGGAAAAUUGUUCUAACCCGAAAUAACUUGAGAGGUCAAAUACCAUCCCAUCUAUUCAAUAACACGCCUUCCUUGACAUAUAUCGACUUCGGAAACAAUAGCCUAUCAGGUCCUGUGCCGACUGGUCUUGCCUCCCUGACCAUGCUUGAGGUCUUGAGCCUGCAAUUAAAUCAGCUUUCUGGUCCAUUGCAUCAAGCCAUGUACAAUAAAUCCAGGCUGCAAGUCAUGGCACUAGUAGCCAACAACAACCUAACUGGGCCGAUUCCAGAUAAUCAAAGUUUCAGCCUCCCAAUGUUGCGUUACUUUGGCCUCGCACAAAACAACUUUGUUGGUCAGUUUCCACCAGGACUUGCAUCAUGCCAGUACCUGCAAAAAUUAUCUUUGUCUGUCAAUUCUUUUGUGGAUGUUGUACCAACAUGGUUAACUAAAUUGACGCAGCUUGAAGCUCUUUCCUUGGGUGAUAACGACCUUUCUGGCUUGAUCCCAGCUACUCUCAGCAAUCUUAGCAAUCUUAAUUACCUGGACCUCUCUCGCGGUAAUUUGGAAGGAGAAAUUCCACCUGAAGUAGGUCUAAUGCAGGAACUCUCGUAUCUGCAUCUUGAAGCCAAUAACUUAACAGGCAAAAUUCCAGAUUCCCUUGGCAAUUUAACCAAAUUAUCUUUCCUAGUAUUGGCCACAAAUCAAUUAUCCGGCCCUGUACCAACAACACUUGGAAACAUUGCAUCUCUGGGCAUUCUUUCUCUGUUAGGGAACAAUUUAGAGGGCAAUAUUGACUUCUUGUCAGCUCUUUCCAAUUGCGUGCAGCUCCAAGACCUUGCUAUAUCAAGCAAUUUUUUUGUGGGCACCAUCCCUGACCAUGUGGGAAACCUCUCCGCAGGAUUACAAAUUUUCCUUGCAGAUCACAACAAGUUAACUGGAGGUAUUCCAGCUGCCUUCUCAAACUUAAGCAGCCUUGCCAUGAUAGAUCUUUCUAAAAACCUAUUAACCGACGCAAUUCCAGAAUCUAUCACUAUGAUGGAAAAUCUCGCGCAUCUUGAUGUCUCUAGCAAUGACAUGUUAGGCCCUAUCCCAACACAAAUUGGCAUGCUCAGGAGUUUGGAAAGGUUGUAUCUCCAAAGAAACAAAUUGUUUGCCUCUAUACCAACCGGUAUUGUUAAUCUAAGCAGGUUAGAAUACAUCUCGUUAUCCAAUAACCAGUUAAGUUCUCUGCUACCUGCAAACUUAUUCCAGCUUCCUAAACUCAUUGCACUAGAUUUUUCUCACAAUUCCUUCGCUGGUGUAGUACCAUCCGCUGUUGAUCAGCUAAGUCAAGUGGUUGGAAUGGACUUGUCUUUCAACAUUUUGACAGGAGUCAUUCCAGAUUCUUUUGCAAGACUUAAGAUGCUAUCGAACCUCAAUCUAUCACACAAUGAAUUUGAAGGCGCAAUCCCAUACACGUUGGAGCAUCUAGUGAGCUUAGCAACAUUGGACCUCUCCUCCAACAAUCUCUCUGGUACCAUUCCCAUGUUUCUCGCCAACUUUUCCUACUUGACUACCUUGAACCUGUCCUUCAACAAACUAGAAGGCCAGAUACCAGGUGGAGGUGUUUUCUCAAACCUCACAUUGCAAAGUUUGACUGGGAAUGCUGGGCUAUGUGGUUCUCCAAGCCUUGGAUUUUCUCCUUGUCUUGAGAAGCAUCCCUCUGUUAAUAGAAAUUUUCUAAAAAUUCUACUCCCUGCCAUCGGUGUAGCAUUUGGAGCUCUUGGUAUUUUCUUAUAUGUUUCUAUGAGAAGGAGACAUAAAAGAAAGGGUGAGGUUAAAGCUUCAACCGAUCCAUCUGACAUAAUAUGCCACCAGUUAGUUUCCCAUCAUGAGCUCAGUCGUGCCACCAACAACUUCAGCGACAAUAAUUUGUUAGGGUCUGGCAGCUUCGGGAAAGUAUUCAAGGGCCAGCUCAGCAGCGGCCUAGUGGUUGCAGUAAAAGUGCUAGACAUGCAUCAGGAACAAGCGAUUAGAAGUUUUGAUGCUGAGUGUCGAGUGCUGCGCAUGGCGCGGCACCGCAACCUAAUAAAGAUACUCAACACCUGUUCUAACCUAGAUUGGAGAGCAUUAGUGCUUGAGUACAUGCCGAAUGGAUGCUUAGAGGCACUCCUACACCACUCUCAAGGCAUAAGGCACUUCGGGUUCCUUGAGAGGUUGGGUGUCAUGCUCGAUGUGUCCAUGGCAAUGGAAUACUUACACCAUGAGCAUUAUGAUGUAGUCUUGCACUGCGACUUGAAGCCUAGCAAUGUUCUGUUCAAUGAGGACAUGACGGCUCAUGUGGCAGACUUUGGCAUUGCAAGGUUACUACUAGGUGAUGAGGGAUCCAUGAUCUGUGCAAGCAUGCCUGGAACAGUUGGGUUCAUGGCACCAGAGUAUGGAUCUUAUGGGAGAGCAUCGCGGAAGAGUGAUGUGUUCAGCUACGGGAUCAUGCUUCUUGAAGUGUUCACUAGACGGAGACCCACGGAUGCUAUGUUUGUCGGAGAAUUGAGCCUUCGGCAAUGGGUUCAUCAGGCGUUCCCUGUAAAUCUUGUCCAUAUCGUUGAUGGUCAGCUGCUACAAUCCUCCUCCUCCACUUCAAGCUGCAGCUUGGAUGGUCGCUUUCUUGUGCCUUUAUUCGAGAUAGGCUUGCUCUGCUCUACCAGCUCGCCUGACCAAAGAAUGACUAUGGGCGAUGUGGUAGUGAGGCUAAAGAAGAUAAAAAAGGAGUAUAUUGAAUGGACACGAGAGAUGGGGAGGGUGGCACGGUGA
rnacentral:rRNA from 1 species